UCGAGAAUAAUUCACAAUGGGGGCAACCCUGAUGGUGCAACGCCGCGUGGAGGAUGACGGUCUUCGGAUUGUAAACUCCUGUCAUCCGGGAGUAAGACCUGGCUGUGAAUAGCAGACAGGGUUGAUAGUACCGGAAGAGGAAGGGACGGCUAACUUCGUGCCAGCAGCCGCGGUAAUACGAAGGUCCCGAGCGUUGUUCGGAAUCACUGGGCGUAAAGGGAGCGUAGGCGGCGCGGUAAGUCAGAUGUGAAAUCCCGGGGCUCAACCCCGGAACUGCAUCCGAUACUGCCGUGCUAGAGGAUUGGAGAGGUAGCUGGAAUUCUUGGUGUAGCAGUGAAAUGCGUGGAGAUCAAGAGGAACACUCGUGGCGAAAGCGAGCUACUGGACAAUAUCUGACGCUGAGGCUCGAAGGCCAGGGUAGCGAAAG
rnacentral:rRNA from 1 species